rnacentral:rRNA from 1 species
UACGGAGGGGGCUAGCGUUGUUCGGAAUUACUGGGCGUAAAGCGCGCGUAGGCGGCUUUGUAAGUUAGAGGUGAAAGCCCGGGGCUCAACCCCGGAACUGCCUUUAAGACUGCAUCGCUUGAAUCCAGGAGAGGUGAGUGGAAUUCCGAGUGUAGAGGUGAAAUUCGUAGAUAUUCGGAAGAACACCAGUGGCGAAGGCGGCCCACUGGCCUGGUAUUGACGCUGAGGUGCGAAAGCGUGGGGAGCAAACAGG